rnacentral:rRNA from 1 species
AUUGAACGCUGGCGGCAUGCUUUACACAUGCAAGUCGAACGGUAACAGGGAGCUUGCUCCGCUGACGAGUGGCGAACGGGUGAGUAAUGCGUCGGAACGUGCCGAGUAGUGGGGGAUAACGCAUCGAAAGGUGUGCUAAUACCGCAUACGUACUGAGGUAGAAAGUGGGGGACCUUCGGGCCUCACGCUAUUCGAGCGGCCGACGUCUGAUUAGCUAGUUGGUGAGGUAAAGGCUCACCAAGGCGACGAUCAGUAGCGGGUCUGAGAGGAUGAUCCGCCACACUGGGAAUGGGACACGGCCCAGACUCCUACGGGAGGCAGCAGUGGGGAAUUUUGGACAAUGGGCGCAAGCCUGAUCCAGCCAUGCCGCGUGUCUGAAGAAGGCCUUCGGGUUGUAAAGGACUUUUGUCCGGGAGCAAAUGCCUGGUGUUAAUAGCACUGGGAGCUGAGAGUACCGGAAGAAUAAGCACCGGCUAACUACGUGCCAGCCGCCGCGGUAAUAC